rnacentral:rRNA from 1 species
CCUACGGGAGGCAGCAGUGAGGAAUAUUGGUCAAUGGACGCAAGUCUGAACCAGCCAUGCAGCGUGCAGGAAGACGGCUCUAUGAGUUGUAAACUGCUUUUGUACGAGGGUAAACGCAGAUACGCGUACCUGUCUGAAAGUACCGUACGAAUAAGGAUCGGCUAACUCCGUGCCAGCAGCCGCGGUAAUACGGAGGAUUCAAGCGUUAUCCGGAUUUAUUGGGUUUAAAGGGUGCGUAGGCGGGCGGAUAAGUUAGUGGUGAAAGCCCGAGGCUCAACUUCGGAAUUGCCUCUGAUACUGUUCGGCUAGAGAGUAGUUGCGGUAGGCGGAAUGUAUGGUGUAGCGGUGAAAUGCUUAGAGAUCAUACAGAACACCGAUUGCGAAGGCAGCUUACCAAGCUACUUCUGACGUUGAGGCACGAAAGCGUGGGGAGCAAACAGGAUUAGAUACCCUUGUAGUC